AUUGAACGCUGGCGGCAGGCCUAACACAUGCAAGUCGAGCGAGCGGCGGACGGGUGAGUAAUGUAUGGGGACUGCCCGAUAGAGGGGGAUAUCUACUGUAAACGGUAUCUCAUACCGCAUACUAUCGGAUAACCCAUAUGGGAUUAGCUCGUGGUGGAGGUAAUGGCUCACCUCGGCGACGCUCCCUAGCUGUUCUGGGAGGAUGAUCAGCCAAACGGGGACGGAGACACGGCCAAGACUCCUCCGGAGGCAGCAGUGGGGAAUAUUGCACAAUGGGCGCAAGCCUGAUGCAGCCAUGCCGCGUGUAUGAAGAAGGCCCUAGGGUUGUAAAGUACUUUAAGUCGGGAGGCGUUACCGCCAGAAGAAGCACCGGAUAACUCCGUGCCAGCAGCCGCGGUAAUU
rnacentral:rRNA from 1 species